CAAUAGCGUAUAUUAAUGUUGUUGCAGUUAAAAAGCUCGUAGUUGGAUUUCUGGUGGGAGCGGCCGGUCCGCCGUAAGGUGUGUACUUGGUUGUCUCCUGUCAUCCUUGUGGGAACUGCUCUGGCAUUAAGUUGUCGGGGUUAGGGAACACAUCGUUUACUGUGAAAAAAUUAGAGUGUUUAAAGCAGGCUUAUGCCGUUGAAUACAUUAGCAUGGAAUAAUAAGAUAGGACUUUGGCGUCUAUUUUGUUGGUUUGCACACCAAGGUAAUGAUUAAUAGGGAUAGUUGGGGGUAUUCGUAUUUAAUUGUCAGAGGUGGAAUUCUUGGAUUUAUGAAAGACGAACUUCUGCGAAAGCAUUUACCAAAGAUGUUUUCAUUAA
rnacentral:rRNA from 1 species